UACGUAGGGUGCGAGCGUUGUCCGGAAUUAUUGGGCGUAAAGGGCUCGUAGGCGGUCUGCCACGUCCGGAGUGAAAACUCGGGGCUCAACCCCGAGCCUGCUUCUGAUACGGGCAGACUGGAGGUAUGCAGGGGAGAACGGAAUUCCUGGUGUAGCGGUGAAAUGCGCAGAUAUCAGGAGGAACACCGGUGGCGAAGGCGGUUCUCUGGGCAUUACCUGACGCUGAGGAGCGAAAGUGUGGGGAGCGAACAGG
rnacentral:rRNA from 1 species